UUGAUCCUGGCUCGAAUGAACGCUGGCGGCAGGCCUAACACAUGCAAGUCGAACGGAGUUAUAUUGUAGCUUGCUAUGGUAUAACUUAGUGGCAGACGGGUGAGUAAUGUAUAGGAAUCUACCUAGUAGUACGGAAUAAUUGUUGGAAACGGCAACUAAUACCGUAUACGCCCUACGGGGGAAAAAUUUAUUGCUAUUAGAUGAGCCUAUAUUAGAUUAGCUAGUUGGUGGAGUAAUAGCCUACCAAGGCAAUGAUCUAUAGCUGAUCUGAGAGGAUGAUCAGCCACACUGGAACUGAGAUACGGUCCAGACUCCUACGGGAGGCAGCAGUGGGGAAUAUUGGACAAUGGGCGAAAGCCUGAUCCAGCCAUGCCGCAUGAGUGAAGAAGGCCUUUGGGUUGUAAAGCUCUUUUAGUGAGGAAGAUAAUGACGGUACUCACAGAAGAAGUCCUGGCUAACUCCGUGCCAGCAGCCGCGGUAAUACGGAGAGGGCUAGCGUUAUUCGGAAUUAUUGGGCGUAAAGGGCGCGUAGGCGGAUUAGUAAGUUAAAAGUGAAAUCCCAAGGCUCAACCUUGGAAUUGCUUUUAAAACUGCUAAUCUAGAGAUUGAAAGAGGAUAGAGGAAUUCCUAGUGUAGAGGUGAAAUUCGUAAAUAUUAGGAGGAACACCAGUGGCGAGGGCGUCUAUCUGGUUCAAAUCUGACGCUGAGGCGCGAAGGCGUGGGGAGCAAACAGGAUUAGAUACCCUGGUAGUCCACGCUGUAAACGAUGAAUGUUAAAUAUGGGAAGUUUUACUUUCUGUAUUACAGCUAACGCGUUAAACAUUCCGCCUGG
rnacentral:rRNA from 1 species